UGGGGAAUAUUGCACAAUGGGCGAAAGCCUGAUGCAGCAACGCCGCGUGAGUGAUGAAGGUCUUCGGAUUGUAAAGCUCUGUCUUUUGGGACGAUAAUGACGGUACCAAAGGAGGAAGCCACGGCUAACUACGUGCCAGCAGCCGCGGUAAUACGUAGGUGGCGAGCGUUGUCCGGAUUUACUGGGCGUAAAGGGUGCGUAGGCGGAUGUUUAAGUGAGAUGUGAAAUACCCGGGCUUAACUUGGGUGCUGCAUUUCAAACUGGAUAUCUAGAGUGCAGGAGAGGAGAAUGGAAUUCCUAGUGUAGCGGUGAAAUGCGUAGAGAUUAGGAAGAACACCAGUGGCGAAGGCGAUUCUCUGGACUGUAACUGACGCUGAGGCACGAAAGCGUGGGUAGCAAACAGGAUUAGAUACCCUGGUAGUCCACGCCGUAAACGAUGAGUACUAGGUGUAGGAGGUAUCGACCCCUUCUGUGCCGCAGUAAACACAUUAAAGUACUCCGCCUGGGAAGUACGAUCGCAAGAUUAAAAAC
rnacentral:rRNA from 1 species